CACGUAGGCGGGUCGUUAAGUCGGGGGUGAAAUCCUGGAGCUCAACUCCAGAACUGCCUUCGAUACUGGCGAUCUUGGAGUCCGGGAGAGGUGGGUGGAACUGCGAGUGUAGAGGUGAAAUUCGUAGAUAUUCGCAAGAACACCAGUGGCGAAGGCGGCUCACUGGCCCGGUACUGACGCUGAGGUGCGAAAGCGUGGGGAAGCAAACA
rnacentral:rRNA from 1 species